UUCCAAGAGGGUCACUCUUUUUGGUCUUUUUUUUUUUUUUUUUAGGUCUGCACCUACUGCAUGUGGAGGUCUGCAGGCUACGGGGUGGAUAGGAGCUGAAGCCGCCGGCCUGUGCCACAGGCACAGCCACCCAGGAUCUGAGUCCCGUCUGCACCCUACACCACAGCUCAUGGCAAUGCCAGAUCCUUAACCCACUGAGCAAAGCAGGGAUCGAACCCGCCUCCUCACGGAUGCUAGUCAGGUUCAUUAACCACUGAGCCACGACGGGAGCUCCCCAAGAGGGUUGCUUUUGAAAAAUCUAGUUUAAAAUAUCUUUAUCUGCAGAGUUGGUCUUUAUAUUUCACGACUGUGAAUUUUUUUUCUUUUUUUGGUUGUGCAUGUGGCAUUCGGAAGUUCCUGGGCCAGCGAUCCAACCUGAGCCACGGCUGUAUUAACACCGGAUCCUUCACCCACGGAACCGCCAGGACUAUGACAUUUCCGAGGUGACUUGGGAAAACAUCCCUCGGUUUGGGUGGGUGCCUCGAUCCAUCUCCGCGCUCUGGGCAGGACCGCAUCGGAACGGAUGCUCUUUGCUGCUCUCACCGCGUCUUAUCUGAAGGCACGCGACACCUGUUGUCCCAGCGCUGGUGGCAGGCACGCUCAUCUUUCAGAGUCUUCUGGACUUGGCAGCGGGAGCCCCUUCAGCCGCGUCCCGCCUUUUGAGCCCCCAUCACGCAUCAUCCUUCCUUCCCUUCUGCCCCUGCUGGAGAUUCCAGCCACAGCAUGUCCUGCCCCAGCCCUGGAAAUGAGCCGUUUCUCCAAAAGCCCUGGUCCCUCUAGAAGCGAAUGGAACUUAGAAAACCAAGAUCUGGGCACUGGCUGUGCUCGUUGUUUGUUUAUGAGCCCUUUUGGCAAACGGCUAAGACACACGCACACCUAUUUCUAUAUUAAAAAUCAUGGAUUCAGGA